rnacentral:tRNA from 2 species
GCCAGUGUAGCUCAGGGGUAGAGCAGCUGUUUUGUAAACAGCCGGUCGUCGGUUCAAAUCCGGCCACUGGCU